AGCAGGCCUGUCACCUGACACUUCAUUGUCACAUGACAUCAUGCACCUGCCAUGUUUGGAAUGAAGGUACAUGGGCAUUCAUUUCCAGCACAUUCAAUUCGGACUGCCAGCAUACAACUCAGCUGACUGUGAUUGCCUCUGAAGAAGUUCCCUGCCAGCACAUCAGCCGGGCUCUCUGAGCAAGUCCUCUUCACCGUCAUUCUGUCCAGAACUCACUGCAGUCUCCCGUGAAGAAAUCCAGAUCCUGCUGGUCGUUCUCUAUGGCUCUCCAGGUGAAAGGAAUCAAACAGAUGGAAGUGGAAGCAGUAUUGUAUGACAGCUGUGCUGUGGCUGUCUGGCACGACCGGUGGGCAGAGGGCUCCAUAUUUAGGAGCGAAAGGGUAGGAGGCUGAGAUGGGCAUCUUUUGCAUCACAUCCUGCAUGUGGUUCUGUUUGCAUGCAGCUCACAGACAGGGAUGGGAAGUUGUAGGCGAGAUUAUGAAAAUGGGCUCUUGGUGUAAAAUUCUGGUGUGAAAUCCAGUGCUU